UACGGAGGGUGCGAGCGUUGUCCGGAAUCACUGGGCGUAAAGGGCGCGUAGGUGGCCUGUGGAAGUCUGCGGUGAAAGCCCGGCGCUCAACGCCGGGUCUGCCGUGGAUACUCUCGGGCUCGAGCUUACUAGAGGCAGAUGGAAUUCCGGGUGUAGCGGUGGAAUGCGUAGAGAUCGGGAGGAACACCGGUGGCGAAGGCGGGUCUCUGGGCAAUUCCUGACGCUGAGGCGCGAAAGCGUGGGGAGCAAACGGG
rnacentral:rRNA from 1 species